UACCAGCUUGCUGGUAUGAUUAGUGGCGAACGGGUGAGUAAUGCUUAGGAAUCUGCCUAUUAGUGGGGGACAACAUUCCGAAAGGAAUGCUAAUACCGCAUACGUCCUACGGGAGAAAGCAGGGGAUCGCAAGACCUUGCGCUAAUAGAUGAGCCUAAGUCGGAUUAGCUAGUUGGUGGGGUAAAGGCCUACCAAGGCGACGAUCUGUAGCUGGUCUGAGAGGAUGAUCAGCCACACUGGGACUGAGACACGGCCCAGACUCCUACGGGAGGCAGCAGUGGGGAAUAUUGGACAAUGGGCGAAAGCCUGAUCCAGCCAUGCCGCGUGUGUGAAGAAGGCCUUUUGGUUGUAAAGCACUUUAAGUGGGGAGGAAAAGCUAAUAAUUAAUACCUAUUAGCCCUGACGUUACCCACAGAAUAAGCACCGGCUAACUCUGUGCCAGCAGCCGCGGUAAUACAGAGGGUACAAGCGUUAAUCGGAAUUACUGGGCGUAAAGCGAGCGUAGGUGGUCAUUUAAGUCAGAUGUGAAAUCCCCGGGCUUAACCUGGGAACUGCAUCUGAUACUGGGUGACUAGAGUAGGUGAGAGGGAAGUAGAAUUCCAGGUGUAGCGGUGAAAUGCGUAGAGAUCUGGAGGAAUACCGAUGGCGAAGGCAGCUUCCUGGCAUCAUACUGACACUGAGGUUCGAAAGCGUGGGUAGCAAACAGGAUUAGAUACCCUGGUAGUCCACGCCGUAAACGAUGUCUACCAGUCGUUGGGUCUCUUGAAGACUUAGUGACGCAGUUAACGCGAUAAGUAGACCGCCUGGGGAGUACGGCCGCA
rnacentral:rRNA from 1 species